UAAGAUUGAAUAAAGACAACUGAUGCUCAAGCCAUUACUAUGGAGAUUCAACAACCAAGCGUGAACAGUGUAGCUAUCUUUACUUUUAAUCAAAGCAGUGAAGCCUGAAUCACCCUGACAGGGCCUGAACAACAGCAUCUAUGACAGAGAACAUUUCGGAAGAAAUCUCUUCAUUUUGUCCACAUGUCUACUUCGAAGCUGUGGAGUCGGAGAGGAGAAGAAGGAGGAGUGGAUGGCUAUAUUGUUUCGUACAGUGUUACAUUGUACAACAGUGGAGGGAGCGAGGAGAGGAAACUGACCGUAACCUGGAAGAGCAGAGAUGAAGGAAGUCGCAUUGUUAAUGCGAUACAAUUCUACAGCAGGACUCUGUCUGCGGGAGGUGUGAACCUCCUGGACAAGCCCAGGCUCAGGUUCCACCUUAGGCCUUGGUGUGAAGCCAGAGAUGUGCAUGUCUAUUGGCUAAUGUCCACGCCUGUCAAGUGGGUUAUUAUUACAAUCACUCACCUUCAAUGCCUGUGUUCUAAAGUCAUCCUAAGGGUCUGACCCAACUCUGCACUGAAACCAAGAAUGGAA